CUUAACACAUGCAAGUCGAGGGGCAGCAUGGUCUUAGCUUGCUAAGGCCGAUGGCGACCGGCGCACGGGUGAGUAACACGUAUCCAACCUGCCGUCUACUCUUGGACAGCCUUCUGAAAGGAAGAUUAAUACAAGAUGGCAUCAUGAGUCCGCAUGUUCACAUGAUUAAAGGUAUUCCGGUAGACGAUGGGGAUGCGUUCCAUUAGAUAGUAGGCGGGGUAACGGCCCACCUAGUCUUCGAUGGAUAGGGGUUCUGAGAGGAAGGUCCCCCACAUUGGAACUGAGACACGGUCCAAACUCCUACGGGAGGCAGCAGUGAGGAAUAUUGGUCAAUGGGCGAGAGCCUGAACCAGCCAAGUAGCGUGAAGGAUGACUGCCCUAUGGGUUGUAAACUUCUUUUAUAAAGGAAUAAAGUCGGGUAUGCAUACCCGUUUGCAUGUACUUUAUGAAUAAGGAUCGGCUAACUCCGUGCCAGCAGCCGCGGUAAUACGGAGGAUCCGAGCGUUAUCCGGAUUUAUUGGGUUUAAAGGGAGCGUAGAUGGAUGUUUAAGUCAGUUGUGAAAGUUUGCGGCUCAACCGUAAAAUUGCAGUUGAUACUGGAUAUCUUGAGUGCAGUUGAGGCAGGCGGAAUUCGUGGUGUAGCGGUGAAAUGCUUAGAUAUCACGAAGAACUCCGAUUGCGAAGGCAGCCUGCUAAGCUGCAACUGACAUUGAGGCUCGAAAGUGUGGGUAUCAAACAGGAUUAGAUACCCUGGUAGUCCACACGGUAAACGAUGAAUACUCGCUGUUUGCGAUAUACAGCAAGCGGCCAAGCGAAAGCGUUAAGUAUUCCACCUGGGGAGUACGCCGGCAACGGUGAAACUCAAAGGAAUUGACGGGGGCCCGCACAAGCGGAGGAACAUGUGGUUUAAUUCGAUGAUACGCGAGGAACCUUACCCGGGCUUAAAUUGCAGAUGAAUUACGGUGAAAGCCGUAAGCCGCAAGGCAUCUGUGAAGGUGCUGCAUGGUUGUCGUCAGCUCGUGCCGUGAGGUGUCGGCUUAAGUGCCAUAACGAGCGCAACCCUUGUUGUCAGUUACUAACAGGUUCCGCUGAGGACUCUGACAAGACUGCCAUCGUAAGAUGUGAGGAAGGUGGGGAUGACGUCAAAUCAGCACGGCCCUUACGUCCGGGGCUACACACGUGUUACAAUGGGGGGUACAGAGGGCCGCUACCACGCGAGUGGAUGCCAAUCCCCAAAACCUCUCUCAGUUCGGACUGGAGUCUGCAACCCGACUCCACGAAGCUGGAUUCGCUAGUAAUCGCGCAUCAGCCACGGCGCGGUGAAUACGUUCCCGGGCCUUGUACACACCGCCCGUCAAGCCAUGGGAGCCGGGGGUACCUGAAGUGCGUAACCGCGAGGAGCGCCCUAGGGUAAAACUGGUGACUGGGGCUAAGUCAU
rnacentral:rRNA from 1 species